CUGCAUUUGUAAUAAAAAGUAAUGGUGAUGUUAAAUUGCUCAUCAGGUUUUUACCUAAAACUCACUUUUGGAAUAAGCAAAAUCUUAUCUCAAAAAAGCUUAUAUACAUUGCCAUGACACAGGUGGCAGAAGGGUGCACAGAGCACACCCCUCCCGCUGGCGCGAGCAUGCUCCGAUCUACCAGGGCAUUGCUGGUGGCUUGCUAUGCGGCUGGUGCCUGCUCUGUGCAUGUCCAAUAGGGCAUCAUUUAAAAAAAAUAUAUUAAGGAUUGGAGUAACCCUUUAAUCACUUCAGAUCGCUUUAUCUGUGAUUUACAUUCAUUUAUUUUUGUAUUUGGGCUGUGAAGUUUCCCUUUAAGGAUUGCUGGUGUUCUGUUACAUACAUGUCAGGAGAGGAGCUACUGAAACAGAAUCACAUUGCCUCUGUCUACCAUCUCCAAUUCUACAAGAUCUUAUCAUUAGAGGGAUGGGUUAAUGCCGGUAUUGAGAAAUAAUAGCUGCUAAGAUAUGUAUGUCCUGGUACUAUACUGAGAUUUAAUACCCAGCAAAGUGCAGUAUACAUAGGGUUACCAG